GUCCCUGGUCGAGCUUUGCUCUCGGGGCGCCAGUCUUAUUGGAUAAGAGAGCCAAAAGGCUAAGGCUGAGAGUUAAGUGACCGGACUGGAGGUAAGGUCCCUGGUCGAGCUUUGCUCUCUGGGCCCCAGUCCUGUUGGAAUGAGAGGUUUGAGAUGUUAGAGUUGAGGUUAGUUGAGACAUAAGUGUUGAAAUAAUCGAGAUUUUAGAGUUGGGAUUAGAGUUCUACUGAAGUACUCUGUCCCGUUGCAUGUGGAAUAAAUUUUGUUUAAGCAUGGCAUGAC
rnacentral:lncRNA from 1 species